AGCGACUGAGGGAAACCAGUAAGUGAUCCACCUGGGGAGUACGCCCGCAAGGUUGAAACUCAAAGUUAUUGUCGGGUGCCCGCACAAUCGGAGGAUCAUGUGGUUUUAUUCGAUGAUACGCGAGGAACCUUACCUGGGCUUAAAUUGCAGGACGACAUCCCGUGAAUACGGGGUUUCUUCGGACGUCCUGCAAGGUUCUGCAUGGUUGUCGUCAGCUCGUUCCGUGAGGUGUCGGUUUAAGUCCCAUAACGAGCGCAACCCCUAUUCUUAGUUGCCAUCAGGUAAUGCUGGGAACUCUAAGGUAUCUGCCUACGCAAGUAGUGAGGAAGGUGGGGAUGACGUCAAAUCAGCACGUCCAUUAUGUCCAGGGCGACACACGUGCUACAAUGGCCGAUACAGAGGGGAGCUAACUGGUGACAGUCUGCAAAUCUCGAAAGUCGGUCUCAGUUCGGAUCGGAGUCUGCAACUCGACUUCGUGAAGCUGGAUUCGCUAGUAAUCGCGCAUCAGCCACGGCGCGGUGAAUACGUUCCCGGGCAUUGUACACACCGCCCGUCAAGCCAUGGAAGUUGGGAGUAC
rnacentral:rRNA from 1 species